GCAGUCGUGGCCGAGUGGUUAACGCGAUGGACUAGAAAUUUACUAUUGGGGUCUCCCCGCACAGGUUCGAAUCCUAUCGACUGCG
rnacentral:tRNA from 2 species